GAUGAACGCUGGCGGCGUGCCUAAUACAUGCAAGUCGAGCGAACAGACGAGGAGCUUGCUCCUCUGACGUUAGCGGCGGACGGGUGAGUAACACGUGGAUAACCUACCUAUAAGACUGGGAUAACUUCGGGAAACCGGAGCUAAUACCGGAUAAUAUAUUGAACCGCAUGGUUCAAUAGUGAAAGACGGUUUUGCUGUCACUUAUAGAUGGAUCCGCGCCGCAUUAGCUAGUUGGUAAGGUAACGGCUUACCAAGGCAACGAUGCGUAGCCGACCUGAGAGAGUGAUCGGCCACACUGGAACUGAGACACGGUCCAGACUCCUACGGGAGGCAGCAGUAGGGAAUCUUCCGCAAUGGGCGAAAGCCUGACGGAGCAACGCCGCGUGAGUGAUGAAGGUCUUCGGAUCGUAAAACUCUGUUAUUAGGGAAGAACAAAUGUGUAAGUAACUAUGCACGUCUUGACGGUACCUACUCAGAAAGCCACGGCUAACUACGUG
rnacentral:rRNA from 1 species